rnacentral:rRNA from 1 species
AGCGAACGCUGGCGGCAGGCUUAACACAUGCAAGUCGAGCGGGCAUACUUGUGGUGUCUGCGGCAGACGGGUGAGUAACGCGUGGGAACGUGCCCUUCGGUUCGGCCUAACCCCGGGAAACUUGAGCUAAUACCGCAUACGUGCGCGAGCAGAAAGGUUUGUUUGCUGACGGAUCGGCGCGCGUCUGAUUGGUUUGUUGGUGAGGUUACGGCUCACCAAGGCGACGUUCAGUAGCUGGUCUGCGAGGCUGAUCAGCCACACUGGCACUGAGACACGGCCCAGACCCGUAGGCGAGGCAGCAGUAGGGAAUAUAGGGCGAGGGAGGCAACUCUGGUGCAGCCAUGCCGGGGAAGAGAUGACUGCCGUAGGGUUGUAAAUCUCGUAUCGCCGGGACGAUAAUGACGGUACCGGAGGAAGAAGCCCCGGCUAACUUCGUG